rnacentral:rRNA from 1 species
UGGGUUGUUGCUGGCCCCCGAACGGGGCAUGUGCACGCUCUGUUUACACAUCCACUCACACCUGUGCACCCUCUGUAGUUCUGUGGACCGGGAGACGUCGUCUUCCUUCCGUAGCUCUACGUCUUUACACACACACCGUAGCGAUGUCUCAUGGAAUGUUUUUUCGCGUUUAACGCAAUACAAUACAACUUUCAGCAACGGAUCUCUUGGCUCUCGCAUCGAUGAAGAACGCAGCGAAAUGCGAUAAGUAAUGUGAAUUGCAGAAUUCAGUGAAUCAUCGAAUCUUUGAACGCACCUUGCGCCCCUUGGUUAUUCCUCGGAGCAUGCCUGUUUGAGUAUCAUGAACACCUCAACUCUCAUGGUCUUCCAUGAUGAGCUUGGACUUUGGGGGUUUGCUGGCCUUGUGGCCGGCUCCUCUCAAAUGAAUCAGCUUGCCAGUGUUUGGCGGCGUCACGGGUGUGAUAACUAUCUACGCUCGUGGUCGUCCACCAGGUAACCCUCAGCGAUGAAGGUUCAUUGGGGCUCAUAAACGUCUCUCCCCAGCGAGGACAACUUUUGAACGUUCGAUCUCAAAUCAGGUAGGACUACCCGCUGAACUUAAGCAUAUCAUA